rnacentral:ncRNA from 12 species
GUGCCUAGAGGCGAGAACGUCCUCCUCACGCACCUACGUUGGGUAAAGUAGCCGCAAGGUGAAGAGAUCGCGGAUUUGCCAUCGCGCUAGGCAU